AGGACGAACGCUGGCGGCGUGCUUAACACAUGCAAGUCGAACGGAAAGGCCCGCUUGCGGGUACUCGAGUGGCGAACGGGUGAGUAACACGUGGGCAACCUGCCCUCAGCUUCGGGAUAACACUUGGAAACAGGUGCUAAUACCGGAUAAUAACCUUUCAUCGCAUGGUGGUUGGUUCAAAGUUUUUCGGCUGAGGAUGGGCCCGCGGCCUAUCAGCUUGUUGGUGGGGUAAUGGCCUACCAAGGCGACGACGGGUAGCCGGCCUGAGAGGGCGACCGGCCACGACCUGGGACUGGAGACACGGCCCAGACUCCUACGGGAGGCAGCAGUGGGGAAUAUUGGACAAUGGGCGCAAGCCUGAUCCAGCAAUGCCGCGUGUGUGAAGAAGGCCCUCGGGUUGUAAAGCACUUUUAUCAGGAACGAAAUACCACGGGUUAAUACCCUAUGGGGCUGACGGUACCUGAGGAAUAAGCACGGCUAACUUCGUGCCAGCAGCCGC
rnacentral:rRNA from 1 species